GGGUUGUGAGGUUAAGCGACUAAGCGUACACGGUGGAUGCCCUGGCAGUCAGAGGCGAUGAAGGACGUGCUAAUCUGCGAUAAGCGUCGGUAAGGUGAUAUGAACCGUUAUAACCGGCGAUUUCCGAAUGGGGAAACCCAGUGUGAUUCGUCACACUAUCAUUAACUGAAUCCAUAGGUUAAUGAGGCGAACCGGGGGAACUGAAACAUCUAAGUACCCCGAGGAAAAGAAAUCAACCGAGAUUCCCCCAGUAGCGGCGAGCGAACGGGGAGGAGCCCAGAGCCUGAAUCAGUGUGUGUGUUAGUGGAAGCGUCUGGAAAGGCGCGCGAUACAGGGUGACAGCCCCGUACACAAAAAUGCACAUGCUGUGAGCUCGAUGAGUAGGGCGGGACACGUGGUAUCCUGUCUGAAUAUGGGGGGACCAUCCUCCAAGGCUAAAUACUCCUGACUGACCGAUAGUGAACCAGUACCGUGAGGGAAAGGCGAAAAGAACCCCGGCGAGGGGAGUGAAAAAGAACCUGAAACCGUGUACGUACAAGCAGUGGGAGCACGCUUAGGCGUGUGACUGCGUACCUUUUGUAUAAUGGGUCAGCGACUUAUAUUCUGUAGCAAGGUUAACCGAAUAGGGGAGCCGAAGGGAAACCGAGUCUUAACUGGGCGUUAAGUUGCAGGGUAUAGACCCGAAACCCGGUGAUCUAGCCAUGGGCAGGUUGAAGGUUGGGUAACACUAACUGGAGGACCGAACCGACUAAUGUUGAAAAAUUAGCGGAUGACUUGUGGCUGGGGGUGAAAGGCCAAUCAAACCGGGAGAUAGCUGGUUCUCCCCGAAAGCUAUUUAGGUAGCGCCUCGUGAAUUCAUCUCCGGGGGUAGAGCACUGUUUCGGCAAGGGGGUCAUCCCGACUUACCAACCCGAUGCAAACUGCGAAUACCGGAGAAUGUUAUCACGGGAGACACACGGCGGGUGCUAACGUCCGUCGUGAAGAGGGAAACAACCCAGACCGCCAGCUAAGGUCCCAAAGUCAUGGUUAAGUGGGAAACGAUGUGGGAAGGCCCAGACAGCCAGGAUGUUGGCUUAGAAGCAGCCAUCAUUUAAAGAAAGCGUAAUAGCUCACUGGUCGAGUCGGCCUGCGCGGAAGAUGUAACGGGGCUAAACCAUGCACCGAAGCUGCGGCAGCGACACUAUGUGUUGUUGGGUAGGGGAGCGUUCUGUAAGCCUGUGAAGGUGUACUGUGAGG
rnacentral:rRNA from 1 species